UACGUAGGGUGCAAGCGUUGUCCGGAAUUAUUGGGCGUAAAGAGCUCGUAGGCGGUCUGUUGCGUCGGCUGUGAAAACCCGGGGCUCAACCCCGGGCCUGCAGCCGAUACGGGCAGACUAGAGUUCGGCAGGGGAGACUGGAAUUCCUGGUGUAGCGGUGAAAUGCGCAGAUAUCAGGAGGAACACCGGUGGCGAAGGCGGCUCACUGGCCCGGUACUGACGCUGAGGUGCGAAAGCGUGGGGAGCAAACAGG
rnacentral:rRNA from 1 species